UAUCACUAUGAAACACCGGUUCUCGUAAGAUCACCGAAGUUAAGCAAUAUCGAGGCUGGUCUGUAUCUAGAUGAGUGACCGCUUAGAAAUAGCAGAUGGC